CGUGACUCUUCCAAGGACAUCCUUCAAGAGAGGAUGUCCUUGGAAGAGUCACUUUUUUGAAUU
rnacentral:sRNA from 1 species